rnacentral:lncRNA from 1 species
AUGAAGCAAGCUCUGCAUUUGCUUCCAGAAUGGAAUAUCACUGGGACAGACCCAAAGGGCAGGUCCUCACCCCUGGGGUAUGUGUGCAGCAAUGGCAGCUGGUGUCACAGUGUCCAGCUGACCUCAGAGCAGCCGUGCACAAAGAAGCUUCUCAGGAAGAUGAUAAACAUCCUAAGAGCCACUGUGGCUUCUGGAGACACUUACAUCAGUGUCUUUUCCUUUAAAUAUCCUGAGCUGAAGCGCCCUUUGCUUGUGAUCUCGUGCAUUGCCCACACAGCCGAAAAUAGGGAGAAAGCUGUGUGGAACUGUCGAGAAGGAGCAGAGGAAGCGUGGAAGAGAAGAGGAUACUGCGUGCAAAGCUGGCAAAGAGGAGGGGAGGAGUGCAGGAGGAGAGCAGCUGGGGGAGGUGAAUGCAGCUAUAGGAUGCAGUUGGGUGUCUGAGACAGCAGAAGAGUUGGGCUGAAUGGAAAGCUAUGCCAGUGACGUGCAGAAAGUAAUAAGAGUGGUGUUGGAUUACUGGGGAUUGGGGAUACCACGGGUAUGGCUCUGCUUUGCUGGCAGGAUGGAUCCCAAGAGCAGCAACUGCCUGCAGAGCUCUGAGGUGCUGGGCAUCACUGUAUGCCCACCUCCAUCCACGUGCUCUGAUAGCACUGGCCAAACCUGAGGGCCUUCUGAAGUAGCCCCUCACCUAAAUAAAGUGCAGCAAUUCAGAUGAUGCA